AUACGGAGGAUCCAAGCGUUAUCCGGAUUCACUGGGUUUAAAGGGUGCGUAGGCGGAUUAAUAAGUCAGUGGUGAAAUCCUGCAGCUUAACUGCAGAACUGCCGUUGAUACUGUUAGUCUUGAAUUUGAUUGAAGUGGCUGGAAUGUGUCAUGUAGCGGUGAAAUGCUUAGAUAUGACACAGAACACCGACAGCGAAGGCAGGUCACUAAGUCAGGAUUGACGCUGAGGCACGAAAGCGUGGGGAUCAAACAGGAUUAGAUACCCUGGUAGUCCACGCCCUAAACGAUGAUUACUCGUUGUUGGCGAUAUACAGUCAGUGACUGAGCGAAAGCAUUAAGUAAUCCACCUGGGGAGUACGUUCGCAAGAAUGAA
rnacentral:rRNA from 1 species